rnacentral:rRNA from 1 species
CAGUCGCCGCGGGAAUACGGAGGGUGCAAGCGUUAAUCGGAAUUACUGGGCGUAAAGCGUGCGUAGGCGGUUCGUUAAGUCUGUUGUGAAAGCCCCGGGCUCAACCUGGGAAUGGCAAUGGAUACUGGCGAGCUAGAGUGUGUCAGAGGAUGGUGGAAUUCCCGGUGUAGCGGUGAAAUGCGUAGAGAUCGGGAGGAACAUCAGUGGCGAAGGCGACCACCUGGGCUCAUACUGACACUGAGGUGCGAAAGCGUGGGGAGCAAACAGGAUUAGAUACCCCUGUAGUCCCUGUCUCUUAUAC